rnacentral:misc_RNA from 1 species
AUCAUGCUCCAACUGAUCCACUAAAGGGUAGAGACUUUCACCCAGUAGCGUCCUUUGCUGUUCAAGGGUAGCAUUCGCAAGGGCUGUAGCCAAAGCAGUAAUGGGCAUAGGCUGUCCUGCAGCAGCAUCUCUAAUUGGCAUGCCACCCAUAUCAUAGGGAGCAGACAGCAUACCUCCAGCAGGAACUGCCAUUGGAACAUCUGGCAUGUUGCGACCGGGUGGGUAUCGAUAGACACGUCCCCUAGGAAGCAUCUGCUGAUGCAUCAGAGGGACAGGUUGCUGGGUCUGUUGCAUGUGACCUACUCCACGUCGCCCUCCAGGGCGCUGGCCCUGCUGAC